AGCUUUGCGCAGUGGCAGUAUUGUAGCCAAUGAGGUUUACCGAGGCACGAUUAUUGCUAAUUGAAAACUUUUCCCAAAGAUUUAUUUAUGUAUUAGACAGAGAUCA
rnacentral:snRNA from 1 species